ACUCCUCGCUAAGACGCCGCCGCCUCCUCCUCCCCAAGACGCCGCUGCCGACUCCUUCCCAAGACGCCGCGCAGCCCGACGCCUUGACGCCGGCAAUCUCCUCUGGCAUACUGGACUUCUCCACGGUGGUUGAGAAGUGGAACAAAGCAGAGGAAGAAUGGGACGUUUGCAAGGUCCCUCGAAAUCGUCUGUUUGAGAGUCAGUUGCUUUUGUGUCGGCGCUAUUGUUGUCAGCAUGCUUAAAUGUACGCAUGUCUUAUGUAUUCUCAGCAUGCUUAAAUGUACGCAUGUUUUUCCUCGGACUUGUGAAUGCUGAAAACGUAUGAGAUAUUUUUGGUUUCAAGUCAUGCUGAUGUGAGAGAUUAUGUUGCUGUUAUGUGACAUCGCAAUUAUGUGAUGAUAUAUGGGUUCCAAGUCAAGCAAAUUAUGUUGUUCAUGUGAA